rnacentral:rRNA from 1 species
UACGUAGGGGGCAAGCGUUGUCCGGAAUCAUUGGGCGUAAAGAGCGUGUAGGCGGUUUGGUAAGUCCGCUGUGAAAGUCCAGGGCUCAACCCUGGAAUGCCAGUGGAAACUGCCAAGCUAGAGUCCGGAAGAGGCGAGUGGAACUCCUGGUGUAGCGGUGAAAUGCGCAGAUAUCAGGAAGAACACCAAUGGCGAAGGCAGCUCGCUGGGACGGUACUGACGC